CUCAUGCCUCGGUGUUCAGUCGCAGAAGCCCUAAUGUCGUCAUGUCGGCGAAUAAAUAUCUAGGCUACACUCAGCUGGUUCACUGAAAAAGUAUGGAUGUAGCCAUUACCUACAACCAUUAGUAAUAACAUGAUUACCCCUGAAGAACAUACAAAGCAUUUAAACAAAAAAACUAGAAGAGAAAGCACUGAUUUUGCAGAUAGUGACUAUUGUGAACACUAUUGCGAUACGUGGUUGUUUUACCUACCUUAGACGAAUGCACUGAUUGUCUCUCAGGAUAAGAGAAUCUGCAAUAUGACAAAAAUGAAAACCCUUACAGAAUCACCCACCACAACAGGACCAAGCGGCGUGGUAACGGGCAACAGCAAAAGAAGCAGCAGGAGAAGGAACAGAGGCAGCAGCAGCAGGAACAGCAACAGCGAGGUCAGGAUUUCGGGACAUGGGAGCAGAAUCUGGACUACACAACUUGGGAGGAGAUAGACAGGUGGGCGUUCGACCCAGGGAGAGUGCCGGAGCCCGCCUGGGAUUCGAUGGAGCAGUGUGCGGAAGGUUACAGGAGAAUGAGGUUGGCAAAGCAAGCACGGCGGCACGGACGGAAGCCCGAGAGU